rnacentral:rRNA from 1 species
CCUACGGGUGGCAGCAGUGAGGAAUAUUGGUCAAUGGGCGCUAGCCUGAACCAGCCAAGUAGCGUGAAGGAUGACUGCCCUAUGGGUUGUAAACUUCUUUUAUAUGGGAAUAAAGUGCAGUAUGUAUACUGCUUUGCAUGUACCUUAUGAAUAAGGAUCGGCUAACUCCGUGCCAGCAGCCGCGGUAAUACGGAGGAUCCGAGCGUUAUCCGGAUUUAUUGGGUUUAAAGGGAGCGUAGGCGGGUUGUUAAGUCAGUUGUGAAAGUUUGCGGCUCAACCCCGGCGAGCCGUUGAAACUGGCUGUCUUGAGAUGUCGAGAGGUAUGCGGAAUGCGCAGUGUAGCGGUGAAAUGCUUAGAUAUUGCGCAGAACUCCGAUUGCGAAGGCAGCAUACCGGCGGCGAUCUGACGCUGAGGCACGAAAGCGUGGGUAUCGAACAGGAUUAGAUACCCCAGUAGUC